UACGGGGGGGGCAAGCGUUGUUCGGAAUUACUGGGCGUAAAGGGCGCGUAGGCGGUUCGCUAAGUCGGAUGUGAAAACUCUGGGCUCAACCCAGAGCCUGCAUCCGAAACUGGCGGGCUAGAGUUCUGGAGGGGGUAGCGGAAUUCCUGGUGUAGCGGUGAAAUGCGUAGAUAUCGGAAGGAACACCAGUGGCGAAGGCGACUACCUGGAUUCAUACUGACACUGAGGCACGAAAGCGUGGGGAGCAAACAGG
rnacentral:rRNA from 1 species